ensembl:lncRNA
UUGGUGACACUAGCACCAUGAUAAAUGACAUAUUUUAUUUUGCCAUGUCAUGAUUAUCCCUUUCCUCUUGGCUUGACUAGCUGAUAGACGGUCUCCCUGCAGACCCAGCCUGGAACUCCCUUGCUGCCAAGGCUGGACAUCCUGGGAGAUUGUCUUCCUGAAUUUGGGAAGUACAGAGUCAACUCUUCUACGUCAUCAUUGCCAGGACACAAAACAUCCCAAUCCCAAGAGCCUCUAAAAUUCCAACCUCAAACCAGCAACUGGUCCUUUUUUCAUCCCAGUGGAAUGAUUUGCAAUCCUUAAUGACUGCAUCCAUUUUCCUGUUUAUUUAGUUAUUGGAGACCCAAGAUUUUAAACCAUGAGUUGAUCAGGCUUAAGUUAAAAGGGUAAUAUUGAGGAUACAGAAAUGAUUUAAUAAACUUUGAAGUUCUCAAAGAAGUUCCAAAAAGCACAAUUGGAUGGCAGCUUCUUAAACAUCCUCGGCCAAAAACAAAUGAGUUGUGGUACCCAAAAUCUGCUCUUAGAACUCCCUAAUUUACAUAUAUGCUAUCAGAAGAGAAUUACACUUCAGAUAACAAAUUAGAAGGUUUGGACACACAAGAGGUAUUAGAAAAAUGUCCUAUUGGUGACUUUAUUGACCCUUUUCUUCAUCUGUUGAAGUCCUUGUUGGGCGAAGAAAGAGGUUUGUAUGGGUAGAAAACCCACAAAAUAGAAUUGCAGGCUCCAGAGCAACCCCAGCCUGUCCACAGGACACUGCAGGGUGGGCCAUGCUUGUGCUGAGCACCACCAGUGUUUAAGACCUGCAUCCUUCCCUUCUGCUGAACGUCUUAAUCUUUUGGAUUAAUUUUUAUUUCUUCUAGUCAUCCACAUUUCCAAAGGAAUCUUCUGCUCCUGACGCAUAUCUAAUUAGAAUAGGUCCAACUCUACUCACUCCUAAAGAAAGUCUCUCCUUUUCAUUGAUGCCAGUAUGCUAUGGAGACACCCGUCAGACUUUUAAACACACAGAUAUCCACUGGGUAUUGAUCAUAAAAGCUCACAACAUUUUUGAGCACUUGCCAUGGGCCGGCCAGAGGUUCUGACUGGUGUGCAGCAUUGGCUCGCCUGUUCCUCACACGGCAUUGGCUCGCCUGUUCCUCACAGCAACAGAAUAAGGCAGGGAUCUUUAUUCAUCCCAUUUCUCAGGUGAGACAGCCGAGGCCUAGAGAGGGUGGGAACCUUGGCGAGAUAUCAUAGUUGACAUGGAAUGGAGCCAGGUGUAGGCCUGACUUCAGAAGCCUCUCUCAACCAGCAGACAGAACUACCCCUUUGAGUGCCAGGAGGAGGGCAAGGUCAGAAUCAGGACACCUCACCUCCAGCUUGAGGGCACUGUUGAUGAUCUCAGGGAUGCCCAGGCAAACCUGCAGCUCCACUGUGCCCCUUGUUUAUUUGCCAGGAGAAAGGUGAAUUGUCCUGAUGUGGCAGGUGUGCCCGGGAGGAAGCAGCAAUCAGGCAGCUCACGGACACUGCAAGUGCCUCCCUCUACCAUGCCCCAUUGGCUUCAAGAAUGUCGCAUGCAGAUCAUACCUGCACAACCUUUUCCAUUCUGACAACACCUUCUCCGUUGCAUGCUGCUCCUCCUCCCAGACGUGUUCAUAUUUGCUCAGAUAUGGAGAAGAAUGAAACUUUGAAGUAGAGAAUGAUUUCCAGGUUUCCGGUUCCACAUGCAAAGAGCUUGGAAGCAGUCAUUCCGGUCUAACAGUAAGUAAAAAUCUGAACAAACUGAAACAUUGACAACUCUUCUUAGAUCCCUCAGGGAAUUUAGGUCACAGAGAAAAACCAUUGCUCCCAAACUGAAGACAGACAGUUCAGUACUGAUAUCACAACUUACUGGAACAGAAGCCUAAGAAUUGAAGCCUCCACAGGAACCAGUGCUGGAGCAGAAAAUCCUGAAUUCUAAUUGGUGAAUUCCUAGAAGCUCAGUGUGGAAGUCUGAGAGUAAAAAACUACAAAGGGCCCUAGCCGCUGGGAGGCCCUCACAUUUUUGUAAGUUUGACCUCCAGGAGCUCUGCCAGGUUCUCAUGGUGAGUAGCAGAAAUCAAUCUUGUGCUUUCAACAGGAGAGAGAAAAAUAACCAUUCUGAAACAUGCAAGAGUCCUCAUUCUUAACAAUACCUGCCACAAUAAGAAACUAUUUAACCAGAGAUUAAUGUGUUUAGGUUCUAUCAUAUCAGAACUGACUUGGAAGAAGAAAAAUGUUCAACUCAAGCCCCUUCUAGUCUUCUGCUUCUGCUUCUGCUUCUACUUCUACUAGAAGGAGGGAAACACCCAACUCCAGCUCACUUUAGACCCCUGUCUCACCUAAGGGGGUGGAAGACUGAGAAACACAUCUGAAGUCCACAGCCCAGAGGCACAGGCUCACUGAAAGACUGAGCACUACUCAGAGGACUAAAAAAUGCUUCUUCUUCCCCUACACCUUCCUACCACAUUAGUAAAGACCUGUGUACACUAGUUCCUUUUACCUGGUACAUCAUGCAAAGCUUUCGAGAAAAAAAAUUAUAAGGCAAGCUAAAGAAAAAAAUUUUGAAGAGACAGAGCAAGCAUGAAAACGAGACAGGGAUGUUGGAUGUUGGCAGAGAUGUUGGAAUUCUACUGGGAAUUUAAAAUAACUGUGAUAAAUAUGCUAAGACACCUAAAGGAUAAAGUAGGCAGCAUACAUAAGCAGAUGGGUAAUUUAAUCAGACAGAUUAAAAUUCUAAGAAAGAAUCAAAAAUAAAUACUGGAAAUUAAAAAAAAAAAAAAACCUAUCCGAAAUGAAGAAUGCCUUUGAUGGGCUUAUCAGUAAACUGAACAGAGCUGAGGAAACAAUCUCUGAGCUUGAGGAUGUAUCAGUAGAAACCUCCAAAACAAAAAAAGCAAAGAUAAAAAAGACUAAAAAACUUGCACAAAAACAAAAAACCAGAUCAGAAUAUUUAAAAAUUGGAACAGCUACAAAUGAUGUAACACAUGUGCAUGAGAAACUCCAGAAGAAAAAGAAAGAGGAAAAACAACAGGAGAAAUAUUUGAAACAGUAAUGACUGAGAAAUGCCAUCAAAUUAAUACCAGACACAAAACCACUAAUCAAGGAGGCUGAGAGAAUAUCAAACAGGAUAAAUACCACACACACACAACAAAACAAAAUUUAAAAAUAAAACAUUAUACCUAGUCACAAUAUAUUCUAAUUACAGAAAGUUGAUAAUAAAAGAAAAAUUCGUGAAAGGAGCCAGAGAGGGUAAACACCUAUAGAAGAGCAAAGGUAACAAUCAAAUCUAAUUUCUCCCCAGAAACCAUGCAAGCAAGUAGUGAGUAAAAUAUGUUAAUACUCAGGGAGAAAAUAAAACAAAAGGCUACCAACCUAGAAUUUUUUAUCCUGCAAAGUUAUUCUUUACUAAUGAAAGAGAAAUGAAGAUUUUCUCACACAAACAAAAAUUGUAAAAAUGUGUUGCCAGUAGACCAGUCUUUCAAGAAAUGUUAAAAGAAGCUCUUAGCUCUGUAGAUAACUUAAGGUUAUAAAAUAGAUCAACAACUCAGAUCUGCACACAGAAAGAAAAAGCAUUAGAGAAGGAGUAAGUGAAGGCAUGGCAAAACUUUUAUUUUUGUUCUUCUUAAUUGGUCUAAGAGAUAAUUGUCCAAAUUAAUAAUCUUGUUAAUUUAUUUGAAUAUAUAUGUGCUUAUACAUAAGUGAAGUAGAUGAUAGUAAUUACACAUGAAAUGGAAGGGAUGAAUUAGAAUUACUUUGUUAUUAAAGGAUUCUUGCACUAUGCUUGAAGUGGUAUAGUGAUAUUUGAAAGUGGACUUGGAUUAAUUGUAAAAAUAUAUGACAAACUUUAGAGCAACAAGUUAAAAAGUAAAAAAAAAAAAAAAAAAAG